rnacentral:ncRNA from 2 species
AUGCGACGAUCUGGAGAGUGGUCGGACCUCAUGGCAUCCGGCCCACCGAAGGAGAAAGCGGCCCGUCCGGCACCUGAUCAGGUGCUUGCCGUCAAGCUCUCAGGUCUCGCGACAGAUGGGGAUGU